rfam:Betaproteobacteria bacterium RBG_16_64_9 RBG_16_scaffold_23281, whole genome shotgun sequence.
GGGGACGUAGCUCAGCUGGGAGAGCGCGGCGUUCGCAAUGCCGAGGUCGGGAGUUCGAUCCUCCUCGUCUCCA